rnacentral:lncRNA from 10 species
AAAAAUUAAAAAAAAGAUUGCUUAAGGCCUGUCUGCCUCUCUUUCAAAGGGGAAAUCCCUCAGCUUCUUUAAAUAAAUUCAAUCCUGCCAACUAGAGAUGAGGGUUGAUUAGAUGAGAUUGGGGGAAGAAGCCCUCCUUCUCAAUGAGUGGUCCAGAAACCAGCAGCAUGGGCACCCCAUGGGAGUGGUCAGAAAUGCCGACACCGAGGGCCCUGAACUGCUGAGUCAGGCUCUUCUAAUGAUCCCUAAGUGGUCUGCACACACAUCAUGCCUUGGAGAAGCCCUGCUGUGAGGCACCCACGCAGAUCCAGACACUCACUGACCAUGGUGGGAGGUGGCACCUAUUUUAUUUUUAUGAUGAGAGGGAACCUCAAACUCUACUGUGAUGUAAGUGGUCUCAAAGGCCCUUUGAAGUCACCAUUUUAUCUAAAUCAGAAAUAGGAAAAAAAUAAGAAAUGGCCAGCUUAGAAAGACUCAAAUUCUUUUGCGGGGGGAAAAACCAGGAAGAAAGAAAAGAAAAAUACAUUGUUUCCUUGGCCAUCUGUGUGAAGAAAUAACAAAACCACCGUUGACAUACCAGCAGGAAAGAACACUGGAGAGCUUCACUUGACAGAAUUAUUACAAACGCCUCUUCCUGGUUCAGGGGGAAAAAAAAUUCCAAAUAGGUUUGUGAUAUUUUUUUCCCUAGCAUGCUUGCAACUCCCAGUAGAGCCAAUAACCAGUUUUCAAAACCUUUUGAUUCUACUCAUCCCCUGGUUAAUAAUUUCCAGUUUACCCAGCAGGCUACGUAACAUCCCCUUUCCUGGGAAAGAAUUUCUGUGCCCCGGCUGGCAGUGAACUGGUCCCCUUAGCAGCUGACCUCCUCCUCCAGCCCUGUGGCUGCCUCCUCUCCAACAGGGACCCUCCUGGUGAAAGAAAAAGAGACUUGGUAAUUCACUGAGCAUCACCCAAGACCGGGCGCAGACCUACACCCUGGCGUAUAAAAGACGUAGUACUCACGUCAUUCCUGUUUCACAGAUGCACAGACUUACUCUUGGAGAGGCUCCUCCCAAAAGUCACCCAGCUGAUUUUCAUCCACUUGGCUCCCCAAGUUGCUGCUCGACCGCUCUCUGACCUGGAUUCACUGAGGACACAUCAGGCCUUUGCCACGGGCUCCAUGGAGUGGCCGGAGCCCAGGGCUGGAGGAACUCAUGCACAUGUGUCCUGGAGACCUGCAAGAGGACAGCACCAUGGAGAUGACCAGCAACUAAUACCACCCAAAGGUCCACCAACAGGAGAAUGGAUACCCCAGCAGGGGUGCAUGCAUGCAACGGAACACACCACGUACUGGUGAGAGUGAAUCAAUGUCGGUCACACGCAUCAACGCCGAUGAGGCUGAGACUCGUAAUAUCAAAUUUAGAAUUGCAAGUAGCAGAAGGAUCAAAGUUAUAUUUGUAAUAAAGCUUAAACACAAGCAAAUCGAGCACUGUAUUGUUUAGGCACACAUUCACAUUUGGUAAAGACAUAAAGCAAAGCAAGGGAACGAGACAAAAAUGAAAUCCCAGAGUAAUCAGGUGGUCAGGUCUUGGGGGGUGGCGUGGAGUUGGGGAAGGGCAUCAGAGUGGAUCUCACCUCAGCUCCGACUGCUUUGGGAAGUUCUAGUUCUGACAUGGAGUGGUGGGUUCACAGCUGUUUGAUUGCUUGUUAUGCUUUAUAACAAUAUAAACUGCAUAUGUUCAGUUGAAAUAUUUCAUAAUAAAGGUUUUUUAAAAAAGAACAUUGGGCUCAUCUUUCCCAUCAGAUACAGGCAUUUUUGUUUUGAAUUUCUAUUUCCUUUUUUUAAUGAGCAAGGAUCGUUUGCCUCUGAAAAUAUAAAUUAAAAAAAAAAAUAAGGCUGGGCACAGUGGCUCACGCCUGUCAUCCUAGUACUUUGGGAGGCCGAGGUGGGUGGAUCACUUGAAGUCAGGAGUUCGAGACCAGCCUGGGCAACAUGGUGAAACCCCAUCUCUACCAAAAAUAUAAAAAAUUAGCCAGGCGUGGAGGCGUGCGUCUGUAAUCCCAGCUACUUGGGAGGCUGAGGCAGGAGAAUCGCUUGAACCCGGGGGGCAGAGGUUGCACGAGCCGACAUUGUGUCACUGCACUCCAGCCUGGGUGACAGAGCGAGACUCCAUCUCAAAAAUAAAUAAAUUAUUUAAAUAUUUUUUUAGAAAAAGCACUGGAUUUGCAGUUGGGAGCACAAGACUUGGGGUUGCCCCUUCCCACAACCACUGUCAUUGCUGGGACCUCUGCAGCCAUCUCCUCCCGGCCUCCAUCCUCACCCACUCCAUUUCAGUCUCUGUUUGGCCCCCAGCUGAGUUAUCUUUGUAACCAUAAAUGGCAUUCGCUCAUUUUACUGCUUCCUGAAGUCCAAGCCUGUUCUUUUCAACCAUGUUUCUCCCUGUUCCUCUUCACCAUUUGUAUGUAGCCAGAUGUAGAGUUCAUGGAACCAAAAACCUGCCUUCUGCUUCUGUGUCUUUGCUCAAGCUGUACCUGGGAAAAUAAGUCAUCAGGUCUGAGCACCAGCGUCUGGGUCUCAGUGCUCAGCAUGCAAAAGAGACUGGGUUUAGGCUCUGUCACUCACCAUGAAUUCUACACGGAAUGACUUUUCUGUCCCUAAGUGAUCCUUCCAGGCUCAUUUCAGGCAACACCUCUUCCAGGAAGCCUUCCCUGAUAUCCAGCCUUUAUUCUCACAGCUCCUCUGGUAAUCCCUAUCAAAGUACCCUGAGAUUUCCACAGUACUUUGGAAUUUUCUGUGUAUGUGCCUCCUCCACUAGACUACCUACUCCCCAAAGGCAAAAACUGGGUCUUAUUUUGUUUGUCUCAAUAGCAACUGUACCAGCCGUGGCAUGGUGGCACUCAAAUGGUAACGCCCUGAGGGAAAGGUUUUGCCUGUUUUGCUCAUCUAUGUAUUCUAAGUGCCUAGAACACUGCCUGGCAUAUGGUAGCUGUGCUGCAAAUGGUUAUCGAGUGAAUGAAUAAAUGUUAACCUGUACUGAGUACUGAGUAAAGUUCUAUUGCUUGGAAGCUGUGUGAGCUUUGGUGAGACACUUAACGUCUCUGAGCCUCCCUUUCUCCCUCUGUCAAUGGGGAGAUUAAUAGUACUAUUCUUGAAGGAUCACCAUGAGAUUUGGCAGAAAGAUGCAUGUGACAGAGCCUAGAAAAUGGCAGGUGCACAGCCCGCGCUGCUUCAUAUGGAUUUAACCCUGGCCCCAGUGGCCUCAGGCAAAUUCCCAGUGGCUCUGAGGUUGUCCAUCUGAGCUCAGAGUCCCCGCUCAGCCUCCCUGGGUGGUCCAUGGGAAAAGGGGGUCGCAGGUCUGUGCUCCUCCUCCUUAGCCACGGGCCAGUGACCCCUAGGGUCACCUCUGACUGCUGGGUCCGUGGAUCUAUUGUGCAGGGCCUGUUGGUGGCUGGGCAGCCUCACUGAGUCUCCAGAGCCCAGCUGGUCAGUGCAGCCAAGGUCAUGGUCCUCAUUCCUUGAAUGGCUCUUUCUUUAAAUUGACGCAAACUCUUCUUCAGCAGCCACAGGUAGCUCCUAACGCAGCCAGCUGUCUGAGCACUCUCUUAGGUCCCUUUGGGUCCUAAAAUGC